rnacentral:RNase_P_RNA from 1 species
AACUCAGGCUGGCUUAUCGCGUCCGAGUAAUCGGAUGAGGAAAGUCCGGGCAGCGCAGAGCAUCCUACUUCCUAACGGGAAGGCGGGCGGCUGGGAACGGCCGUUCGACAGACAGGGCAACAGAAAAUAUACCGCCAAAAUUUAACGAGUGAAAGGGCGAGAGAGAGAAAGAGCGAAAGGCUACCGUAGCCAACUCACUCUUUCACUCUUUCACUCUUUCGCCUUUAAACUUGGUAAGGGCGAACCGGUGGGGUAAGAGCCUACCGCUCGUUGGGCGACCAACGGGGCACGGUAACCCUUAGGGGCUGAAAGACCAAAUAAGCGUUGGAGCGUGGCUGCUCGCUGCCAGAAGCUUGCAAGAGCGGACCCAACGCGGGUAGGUCGAACGAGGUGUCGGGUGACCGGCAUCCCAGAUAAAUGAUAAGCCAUUCCACUGUAGUAGUGGGAGGACAGAACCCGGCUUAUAGGCCUGAGUUGACU